UUUCAACUUUAUAAUAUGUGUAUAUAUAUACUUGGACACCGACACAUAUGCCACACAGCCAAAACAAGUCGUCCACAAUAAUAUUAUUGUCAUUGAAAAAGCAUCACUAUGGUAGAGAUUGAUCCAGAUUUCAUUCAAGCACCAGAUAACAGACCAAAGCCAAAUGUGAUAGAAGCUGAAAACGUUCCAGUAAUAGACCUAUCACCUAUACUAGACAGUUCCAGCAAUAUUGAGAAAGACCCUUUAGUUUUUGAUGAGCUUGUGAGGAAAAUAGGAAGUGCGUGCAAAGAGUGGGGGUUUUUCCAUGUGAUAAAUCAUGGAGCUCCUCUUGAAAGUAGGCAGAAGAUUGAAUCUGUUGGGAAGAAAUUCUUUGGUCAAAAAAUGGAGGAGAAGAAGAAAGUUAGAAGAGAUAUUGUGAAAGUUAUGGGAUAUUAUGAAUCUGAGGUUACUAAGAGUGUUAGAGAUUGGAAAGAAGUGUUUGAUUUUACUUUUGAGGAACCUACUUUGAUUCCAGCUUCAAUUGAUCCUCAUGAUAAAGAGGUUACUCAUUGGUAUAAUCAAUGGCCUGAGUUUCCACCAGGGAUGAGAGAGGCAUUCCAGGAAUAUGCUCAACACAUGAAGAAACUAUCAAUCAAGAUAAUGGAACUUAUCGCGGUGAGCUUAGGAUUGCCCGCCGAAAGAUUUAACGAGUUCUUCAAAGAUGAAACAAGCUGGAUAAGACUCAACCAUUAUCCACCUUGCCCUAAUCCUGACAUUGCUCUAGGAAUUGGAAGCCAUAAAGAUACUGGUGCUUUAACUGUCCUGGCUCAAGAUGAAGUUAGUGGACUUGAAGUGAGGAGAAAAUCUGAUGGUGAAUGGCUUCUUGUUAAGCCUUUGCCUAAUGCUUAUAUUAUCAAUGUUGGAGACUUAAUUCAGGUUUGGAGCAAUGAUGCAUACGAGAGUAUUGAACACAGAGUGGUGCUCAACACUGAGAAAGCAAGGCUUUCAUAUCCAUUCUUUCUGACUCCAGCACACUACACCAUGGUGGAACCUUUGAAAGAGUUCACAAAUGAUGAAAACCCUCCAAAAUAUAAACCUUACAAUUGGGGCAAGUUUUUAGCUACUAGAAAGCUUGGCAAUUUCAUGAAACUUGGUGUUGACAACAUCCAUACUCAACAUUUCAUGAUUACUUAGAUACAGAUAGCAUUUUGAUAUAAUGCUGUCAUCAAGAUGAUGUUGUGUUUGGAAAAGGUGUUGCGUGCUUUAUCGAGCUAGGUGUGUGAGAAUAAGGCUCUUCAUGAACAAGUGUUACCAAAAUGUAUUAGCUUAAAUAAAGAGCCAUGAUUGACUCAUAAAUAACUUUAAUUUCCAAGUUAUUAAGCACUGGGUUCUUGGCAAGAUUGAUUGUAGACUUCUUAUCAAUCAUCAACUUAAGAGACUUGUUUACCUUGAUCUUCAGAUCCUGCAGUAAAUUCAAAAGUUAAAUAGCUUGACAUGCAGCCAUAACACCUGCAAUGUAUUCAGCUUCACAGGUUGGCAAAGCAACAAUUGGUUGCUUCUUGGAACACAAAGAAAUAGGACCUUCCAGAUACUUAAACAAAUAUCUAGAAGUACUUUUUCAGUCAAUUCUAUCUCCAUACCAAACAGAGUCUGAGUAACACAUCAGUUAUGAAUUAGCUUUUUCACCAUAAGGGAAUAAACUCCAUACUUCAGAGUCCCUUUAAUA